CAAUUCUUGGUACCUAACAC
rnacentral:piRNA from 1 species